UACACUCCUACGGGAGGCAGCAGUGGGGAAUAUUGCACAAUGGGCGCAAGCCUGAUGCAGCCAUGCCGCGUGUAUGAAGAAGGCCUUCGGGUUGUAAAGUACUUUCAGCGGGGAGGAAGGCAAUACGGUUACUAACCGUGUUGAUUGACGUUACCCGCAGAAGAAGCACCGGCUAACUCCGUGCCAGCAGCCGCGGUAAUACGGAGGGUGCAGGCGUUAAUCGGAAUUACGGGGCGUAAAGCGCACGCAGGCGGUCUGUCAAGUCGGAUGUGAAAUCCCCGGGCUCAACCUGGGAACUGCAUUCGAAACUGGCAGGCUUGAGUCUUGUAGAGGGGGGUAGAAUUCCAGGUGUAGCGGUGAAAUGCGUAGAGAUCUGGAGGAAUACCGGUGGCGAAGGCGGCCCCCUGGACAAAGACUGACGCUCAGGUGCGAAAGCGUGGGGAGCAAACAGGAUUAGAUACCCUUGUAGUCCCAUGA
rnacentral:rRNA from 1 species